ACGGGUGAGUAACGCGUGGGAAUCUACCGUGCCCUGCGGAAUAGCUCCGGGAAACUGGAAUUAAUACCGCAUACGCCCUACGGGGGAAAGAUUUAUCGGGGUAUGAUGAGCCCGCGUUGGAUUAGCUAGUUGGUGGGGUAAAGGCCUACCAAGGCGACGAUCCAUAGCUGGUCUGAGAGGAUGAUCAGCCACAUUGGGACUGAGACACGGCCCAAACUCCUACGGGAGGCAGCAGUGGGGAAUAUUGGACAAUGGGCGCAAGUCUGAUCCAGCCAUGCCGCGUGAGUGAUGAAGGCCUUAGGGUUGUAAAGCUCUUUCACCGGAGAAGAUAAUGACGGUAUCCGGAGAAGAAGCCCCGGCUAACUUCGUGCCAGCAGCCGCGGUAAUACGAAGGGGGCUAGCGUUGUUCGGAAUUACUGGGCGUAAAGCGCACGUAGGCGGAUAUUUAAGUCAGGGGUGAAAUCCCAGAGCUCAACUCUGGAACUGCCUUUGAUACUGGGUAUCUUGAGUAUGGAAGAGGUAAGUGGAAUUGCGAGUGUAGAGGUGAAAUUCGUAGA
rnacentral:rRNA from 1 species